UUUGAUGUGUGUCCUCGGCCCCAUUCAUUUGCUAGAUGUUUUCCUCCUUUGAUCUGUUGGUAAUGGUGUUCAUUUAGGAGAGGUAUUCAGCCGAGCAGGCUUCGAUAUUCUAUCAAGGAAUUUGAAUAAAUACAAUUAUUUCUUAUUUUCUAACAUGGAAUAGCUGAGAGCUUUAGGCAUAGAAAAAGCAUGGGGCAAAAAGGAAUUUCAGGGCUCCCUUUAACAGCUUUACAAUGCAGUCAGUAAAUCUGGCUUGUUAAUGAAAUAUUCGUAAUAGCUACAAUUAGGGCCUCUGCUGACUUUGAAUUGAAAAUAAUUUUUUUCAAUGAACCUUUCAAUAUUAUAUUUUGAUUGCCAUGUUGCUGGCUUGGUUGAUCAUAGUUUUUAUGUGAACUCUUAUCUUUCCUAAGUGGAAGAGCAGGGAUGUCGUAUAAUAUCUAUUUAAAGCACGACCAGUGUUCAUCAGUCAACAGAUUUUUUGGCAAAUUAAAUAUUCCUGGUUAUUAAUAUUGGUGGGAAAAAAAUGAAUGUAUUUUUUGAAUGCAAGUAAGGAAAAAUAGUUCCAACACUUUUUUGAGGGGUGGGUCUAUUUUUGUAAUUUUUUAACCAUGCUUGCUCCCUAGGAGAGUUGGUUGCAGAGAAAGAAUGGUACAGCAAGAUAAUGCCAUGUUCUCUCCCAGCCUCUGCCUAGCAAAAGGGAAAUGUGCUGGAGAUUUAUUCUGUUGCCUGGAGCUGACAGACUGACUUCUUCCUGCCCCUGGAAUGGUGCAGGUGGGCCAGAACACUUGCACCAGCACCCUGGUUUAACUUUUUUUUUGGUGAGAACAAGUGCAUGAGUGACCUGGUUAGCAAGCACUGUGCUUUACUUAUUAAGCAGUGACUAAUACAAUGCAAAGGAUUAAUUUUGAUUUCUCCACCAACCGCUUUCCCCUCCCCCACACUCUUACACUCUUCUUAUUCCUGCUUUUUUCUUCUCAAUCUCUUACAGUCUGUCUGAAAUGCUGAUUUUUUUUUUUCCUCUGCUCCUGGAACAACUCUGGGCCAUUCCCUUUUUUAUCUUAAUUUGCUGGGUUCUCUUUGCAUAAUAGAUCAUCUUUGUCCGAAAAGCCGUGCCAACAGCCCCUCCCAGUGCCAUUCAUACACAGUAUGUGUCUUGCCCCGAGUCCUGUCACAUGAUGUUUCCCAUGUUAGGUGUGGUGCUGAAUGUGCUAAACAGAACUCUUAGACACAAAGGGGAAAUGACCAAAACCCAUGGCCUUAAAUUCAUGGCUCUCUACCAGCCCCUUCAUGCAGAACUCCCAUCAAAAGUCAGUAUUUCUGUGCAUCCAGUGCUGGCAGGACCAAACCCUUAAAGUCAGGUAACAUUCAGAUCCCCAGUACAGUAUUUGUGGCAUCAGUGGGGUGAAUUCAUCUGCAUUUCAAGGCAGAAUGCAUUCAUCUGUACUUUCUCCUGCCUUUUGUUCGCAAAAAAAAAACCAACAAAAAACCCCACAUUAGCAGAGCCAUGUUACUGCUUCCUGCUUCUGUUGUUUAGUGUUUUGCAGCUACCACGGCUGGCCAAGAAGCUGUAAAUCUUGCCUGGUGUUCUGUAACAAAGAGAAAAAUAGAAUGAUUUGUGUUGACUUUUGGUCAUCGUGUAUCAUUAUCGAUCCGAGGGAGGGCGGCGGGGGAACGCGUUACCGUGUAUCUGUUGCUCGCCAGUUCUCCGGGAAGGCGGCGUUACCCAGCAGUCAGUAGAGGGCAAUAGAGAAAUACAGUUUUGCGAUGCCUAAAGGAUUUAAAGCCCUGAUUAUGUGUUUACAGAAAAGAAAAAGAAGAAAAGAAGAGCCAGGAGGAUAGGUUGUUCAGUUUACUACCGGAGACCUGACUGUGACAGACUACCAAGGAAACAAAAUUUUCUAAGAGAGUAAAGAAGACCCUCUGCAGCAUUUGCAAGGGUCUCCUUUUUUUCUUCAGAGUUACGUGGGAUAACUUAGCCAGAACUUAUUGAUGUCUGCAUGUUCAGUGGACUCGGGAAUGGACUGGGAGAUGCAGAAAGGCACUCUUUGGAAGGAACAGAAGAGGAGGCAUUUCAAAAAUCCUGCAGGUGACCGAGGUGAUGAUCUGCUGACAGAAUAAAUAAAUCAUAGAUAGUACUGAGACUGCUCAGCCAUUUGCUGUGGUAUCACUUCUACAUAAGGCUAGGUCUGGGCCUGUGCCUUCCUCAUCAGCAUGCCUAUUAAUGUCAAGACUGAGGACAUGAGAAGGAUGAGAUGACCAGCGCACAGCAGUGAAAAAGAUGCCAGUAGAAGCAUCAAGACCAAAAGUGAUCAGACUUCAGACAGAGAAGGAGUAGGAAAAUUGCUGAGGUCUCCACACAGGUGUCUGAUAACAGUCCCACCAAGGUGGAAGUCAAACUGUCUCACAACUCAGCCUCUUCUCCCUAGUGCCUGUGGAGACAGCUUCCAGCACGACACAUCCCAUCUUUGCCUCUCCAGAGUAUGGGACUGCUUGCAUCGUUCUCUGAAGGGUCUAAUGCUGGUACUUCUACACACUAGGCUGUUUCCUUUCAGGAAGUUUCUUCUACAUGUUCUGCAGACUGCUGGUACUGAUGACGAUAAUGAAGAGGCCACUCAUUAGGAGAGAGGCUUUUUAGUGAUCAGUCUUUCCACUUACUUCAGGAAUACUGUUGAAAAAGCUUUCAGCAUUACUGAGCAACAACCAGAGUUCCCAGCAACACUGCGUUGGACAGCCCUGCUUGCUGGAAGAAGGUGAAGAAGGAGCUUCCUACUUGGGUACCUUGGGAGGGAAGUGACCGUUGUGGGUGGAGGCGUGCAGACAACACACCCAAAGUCCCACUGCUUUCCUGUGCAGGGAAAUCCUUCAGCUUGACUGGAGUCAGAGGAAACCUGGUCUCUGUCCCCACACAAGGUCACACUGCAGUCCUGGGAAUCAAUUUUCCUGGAUAAACCAGAGGUUUCCUCCCAGUGGACACUCCUUUGCUCUCUUUCUCUAGCAAGCAGCUUUGAUUCAGGAAACUUUUUCUGCUGAUUGGGUAUCAGCUGAUUGUUACUGGAGUGCUGGGGUACUGGAGAGUUGGAUGAUGAAAUGCCUCACCUGUGGCUGCCCAAUCUCAUGCUGCUUCCUCUCUUCAAUAAUGCUCCCACACAGACAUCCAUUUACUUAUCUAACCAUGGGCUAACUUUUUGUCUGGUUUUUUUUUGAGCUGUUGUGGGAUUUGUUUCCAGUAGGCGUAUUACUUGAUUAAUGACCUUUCUGUUAACACUUGCUCAUAUUCCAUAUGGGAUCUUCUUGGGCUAUCUAAAUGCACAAAAUACUUAAACUAAUUUUUUUUCUCAGCUCAUCUCUGUUUUUAAUAACACAAUUUUUUUCUCCUACCUCCAAAGAAAAAAGAGCAUUUUCUAGCUUGCUCAAGCUCACGUUGAAUGUUUCUUGUGAUUCAUGUUGUCACUUAUGCAGUAUUCCAAGAAAACAGAGCAUGGACAGGCUCUGUCAGGAAGGGUUUUGUAAUCUAUUUGUCAUUUCUUUUCUGUAUAGAUUAAGGGCUAAAUUUUGUGAUGGCAGAUGAAUUUGUAGACCCCAUCUCCUUGAAAUCACGCCAGCUAUUCAAAAGAGAGAAGCUGCUUUUCUUUCAACCCAUGACGGUAGCGCUUUCCUGGAUGCAAGUUGAAAAAUAUUUACAUCAUUAUAAAUAAGCAGGGUGUAACUAUAAAUAAAGAACACGGGUAAUAAAGUGUUAUCAUUGAAGUUGAAAUUAAAAUUGGAUCCUGCCAAGUCCUAAACAUAGAUCAUGACAGAAAAAUCCAAUAAGGUUUGUUUGUUUGUUUGUUUGUAGGUGCUGUAAUUAUAGACUAGAUAAAGGAAAGAAAAGAUUAUACAGCAGACAUAAUUUGUAAUGAUUACAGUAACAUUUCUGAUGCAAUACCAUGAAAAGAAUGACUACUUGUGCAUGGCAUCCACACGUGCAUCUACAUCCCUCCUCAGGGAGGUACCCUCUGCAGCACUCACCUCAUAACCUGAGACAUGUCACAGCCUGUAUGACCAUGGGCUAUGUGACCACAGACUGUAUGACCGCAGGCCUGUUUCCAAAGAGUGUGCUCUGGUGGGCACUGGGUGACUCCUGCUAGGGUUGUCCCUGAACCUGACCCCAUGCAGCUAGAUCCCCCCACCCAGGGGAGCCCCUGUUGUAUGGUAAAUAAAGAAGCCCUGGAGUAGAGGGAUGUUUCGACUGUCUCUAAAUGCAAGACGUUCAUCUUGAAUUAAGUUACUUCUUUAUCACCGGGGUUUGAUCCGAGCACUGUGCCCUCCACUGGCAGAGCAGGAAAAGAUUUGCAUCCAUUGGGAACAUGGACCGUUGUGAAAAAGUGCAGUUGGGCGCAGAAAAGCCCUGAGAGAUGUUCAUGCAAAAACAGAAAGCAUUUCGUUUUAGUUACCAAGAGUGAAGUCUCUUGUUACCUUUCUGGAAACCAAGGCUUGAGGCCAAAAGCAAUUUCUUGUACUUCAAUAACUGAAAAUAAAGCCUUAAAAAAGAACAUGUCAGGGAAUUAAAUGAGAACCACAAGUUUAGCUGGGCUAGUGAUUGCCCUGGAGAAUAUUGAGGUGAAAUGUAUAGAAAAGAGGGGGUUAGAGACACAGUUAAGUGAAUUACUAGUCCCAUCUGUAACACCUGUCAUAGUCCUGACUGCUGGGUAUUUACUUUCAAAGAAAUCAGCUUGCACUACUGUUUGAUGAAGAGCCCUAAAUCAGGUGUAGAGGUGCAAUUACUGAAAAUGAAUCUGUCAGAGCAAAUCUCAGGUAAUCAAGGAGUCCUGUUUGGGCUCCCCUCCUGUACCCAUCCAUGCCUUAGGGAUAACUGAAACCAAUGUUCCUCAAAUCUAUUGGGAAUGAGCAACACAGAUACAAGGUAGACUUACUAAGAAGGUUAAAGAAACUUUAACAUGUUUGCCACAGGCUGAUAAUGGCAUCUGGGAGUCAGCCAUCCACAGGGGCAUGUCAAAUGGUGUUUGUAUCUCCUUGAAAAGAAUCAGGAUUAUUUUAGUGCCAAACAGAAGACAUAAUCUGAUGCAAUUUUCAGAAGCACCAUCAGCCCCUGAUAGACAACAUAUGCCCACAGCUUCUCACGCCUUCCUGCAGUAGCGGGUAUGUUCUGAUAGGGUUUCAGUGCGCAGUGCAUGACAGAUGAUUUGAAAACUGAGUAUUCUUGAGGAAUGGGCAUGAGACUCGUUUGAUUCUCUGAACUCAGUCCAUUGACUAGUGUCCCUGAGCAAAGAUGUUUUUUUCAUUAACUAGAUCUCUGUUUGGUUGUGCCUUUCUUAUUAUAGAUGAGAUUCCCCCCAGCUUGUCUUUCGUCUUUAAGCUAUGCAAGUUUCUGUAGAAAAUUAUGCAUGAAUAUAUAAAAGGCUCUGGACAAUAUCAAGAAAUGAGUAUGCUAACAUUUUUGUUUCUUGGACACAUUUUGGUUGGGUUUAGUUUUUUGUU